UACAGCCAUAUCAUAUUGAAACACUGGUUCUCAUACAAUCACAAAAAGUUAAGCAACAUCCAGCCUGUUUAAUACUUAGAUGGGUGUCUGCUUGGGAAUACCAGUAGUUGUAAG